rnacentral:sRNA from 1 species
CACCUGAGUCUGGGAGGUUGAGGCUGCAGUGAGCUGUGAUUAUGCCACUGCACUCUAGCCUGGGUGACGAAGUAAGACCCUAUCUCAAAAAAUACCAGUUUUUAUGAUAGAAUUUACUUAGUUGCAGAGUAGGGGUGGCAAGGGGAAUGUUAAUUUGGCUCACUGUUUUCUGAACCUGAAAGAACCAAAGAAUUAGCAGUGUAGUGUCAAAAGUUAAAUAAAAUUCCUUUUUUGUUUAGGAAAAUAAAAAUAUAAACAUUUUAGAUGAUCAUUGUUUAUCUUCUAGAGGAUCUCUGGGAAAGUUUAGAAAAUGCUAGUGGUAAACCUAUAGCAGCUGUGAUGAAUACCUGGACCAAACAAAUGGGAUUUCCCCUCAUUUAUGUGGAAGCUGAACAGGUAGAAGAUGACAGAUUAUUGAGGUUGUCCCAAAAGAAGUUCUGUGCCAGUGGAUCAUAUGUUGGUGAAGAUUGUCCCCAGUGGAUGGUCCCUAUCACAAUCUCUACUAGUGAAGACCCCAACCAGGCCAAACUAAAAAUUCUAAUGGACAAGCCAGAGAUGAAUGUGGUUUUGAAAAAUGUCAAACCAGACCAAUGGGUGAAGGUGAGUUCAGAAUCUUACCUAAACAGAUUUCUCUCACUUAUACAUUUUAUGGCUGUCUUUAAAUUCUGCUUCAGUUUAGUAGUGUCAAAGAAAAAAAAAAACCUAAACUUUUCUUUGUGAAAUUUAGGACGAAUUUUCAUAUAGUAUUCUCCAGACGUUUGUCCUUAUGUUAGGGAAGGUAGUGGUAGAGAAGCAGAUCCAAAGGCAUAGGACUAAGGAGGAGAAGAAGAAAAAAAA